AUGCUUACUUUGACAGCACAUAGGCUAGCCUCAGAACAAUACAGAGAAGUUUCAAAUGGCUCAUGAGCAAGGGUGACACAGAAGCUUGUGAAAUGUUCCAUAUUUCU